UAAUAAGUGUUUUAUGGCGCUUUUUAAAUCCAUAUCCACCUUGUGUGCAAUGUCAGUCGAUCUUCUUCAUGGAGAUCGACCAAACAUCAACCUUUAUUUUUUAACUCUUUGUCUGAAAAAUAUUAUGAAUAAACAAUUCAAAAUA
rnacentral:misc_RNA from 1 species